rnacentral:rRNA from 1 species
UACAGAGGGUGCGAGCGUUAAUCGGAAUUACUGGGCGUAAAGCGUGCGUAGACGGUAGCGUAAGUCAGAUGUGAAAGCCCCGGGCUCAACCUGGGAAUUGCAUUUGAGACUGCUCUGCUCGGGUGCGGAAGAGGGAAGCGGAAUUUCCGGUGUAGCGGUGAAAUGCGUAGAUAUCGGAAGGAACACCAGUGGCGAAGGCGAUCACCUGGGGUUGUUCUGACGCUGAGGAGCGAAAGCUAGGGGAGCAAACGGG